UUUCUAGGUCCAUCCAUGUUGCUAAAAAUGCUGAUGUUUCAUUCAUUUUAAUGGCUGAGUAAUAUUCCAUUGUGUAUAUGUACCCCAUCUUCUUGAUCCACUCCUCUGUCCCAGAGCACUUUCUUUCAGUGUGUAAACCAAGAGGCUGUGUACUCCUUUCAACCCCUCAGGAGAGAAACUGAUAUCCUGACCCAAGGUAUCAGACUUUGACCUCUAGCGCCUUUGCUCUGUUGUUCUUAUCUGUGCAUCAGUCAGCACACUUAAAAAAAUGGGCUACGUAGGAAUGAAAAGAAAAACUGGUAUCAGUAAAUCCACCAAAGGAAAAGGGGGAAAGGAACUAACAAGACAUUGAAGAAGGCAGAAGAAAUGGAUUACGUGGUGGGGGGCGGGGGGCAGAGUUUUCCUGAAGCACAAGCUGUGUCAGAGGAUGACCAGGACCACUUCACAGAAAGAAUUCUGACUGAACUUCUCUCUUUCUUCCCAGGGGUCUCUGAUCAUAGGAUACACACCAGUGAGUCAGAGAGGAAGUGGAGGUAUAAGGUCACAUUUUGAGCAUCCUGAAUUCUGUUUCACAGUCAUGUGUGUUUACUGAAACUAUGUUCCUGCCCUUUGUAUUUAAAGUCAUCCGAAAGCAGAGAUACCUUUCGAGAGAGGUUGAGGUACAUGGUGAAGUGAAUAAUAAUGACCAGUAUGUAUAAUCCCUUACCACAUGCAUGGCGUUAUUCUAUGUAUAGAGACAUUUGAUUCUCCUAAGAAUCCUGUGGAGCUAGAAAUGUUAUCAUCCCCACUCUGCAGAUGAGGAAAUUGAGGCACAGUGAGAAUUAAGGCUCUAAGUCACAUCAGUAGAAGAGCCAAGAUUUGACCCUGGUAUUGACAUCUCCAGUUUCCAGGUUUCCAGUGAGCAGUGAGAGGCAUUGCCUUCCCUAAGAAGACCCUGUGCAUUGGUGGUGGGAUCAAUGGGAAUUCAGGCUCUUAGGUUCCCCUCACAGCUUUAUGGACCGUAAAACUGGCACCAUGUCAAAGGCUAUAGGCUUUGAAGUGUUUAAUGCUAAGUUUUAUACAAAGCAAACCAAGACUGCGCCAGCAAUUGAAUGGGAAAGAAUGUAUAUUUGAUCUUAGAAUUGAGCAUUUUGUCUAUCAUUAAGCAUUUACCCUUCCUAUAGCAAGACUUGUCUUGGCCACCACCCAAAUAACUGCAUGUCCCAAUAUGAAACAAGAAAUAGGUAUGCUCCUGGGGUAACUUGGAAAAGAAUAAUUUCUAUAUGGAGAGACUAGGCUCCAGAGUUCAAUAUGUAGUUAUAAUCAGAAAAAAAUUUUUUCAUAGAGUAAUACUUUGGGGUUAUUUAUUCUCUUUUGAUAAUUUCCAAGUGUGUUUUGACCAGAUUCAUCAGAAAGAUGCUUUUCUCUAUUCCAGCCCCAUUCGCUCCAUUAGAGACUAGAACCUCAGCUACACAAUUUUACAUUGAAUGUAGAACUCAAGCUGAAUUGCAACACAUGUUUGUUUCCAUUGUCUUUAGUUUUCCCAGCGUUAGUUUCGGUGCUACCUGUAAAGAAUACAAAUUUCUCAUCCAGACCUCGAGAUCCCAAGAGCAUGGUUCCAGCCUAUUUUUAUAGCCUCAUCUUCUUCACACUACUUUCCUUUCCCUUACUUUCAAAACUUUGGGCUGAAUCUCAGCCAGAGCUUCCCCAUCUGUUUUGUGAUGGAGUCGAGGGCAUUUGUGUUGUCUCAGGCCCCUACAUAUUCACAGGUGGGACAGCGCCUCACCCCUCCCUGCGCUCCCUGGGGUGCUUACUUAGCCUGACACCUUUCCGAAACAGCCUGGCUUUGCUCUGUGCCAGAUAUGCACAUUAUGAGGUGACAUGUCCUGUGUGUCAAAUGUUAACCAGGGAAGGGACUUUGGAGUGUAACUAGUGUCACCUUUUCAGUUUACAGGGAAACCUGAGAUAUGCAGAAGUCAGCCACCCAAGGUCAUUGGUGAGAUGGUGGCAGAGCUGACUCCCUGCAAAUUACCACCUUCUAAAAUAUAGAGGGGAACAUGAUAUCAGGAGAAGAUAUUUUGGGGUCAUGAAAUUACAUGGAUUAUUUAUGUACUGAUGGGAAUAAUAGAGCAGAGAGGGAAAAUUGAUGACACAAUGAUUGCAGGAGGGAAGAUGUUGAGUAUGUGAGAGGAGGCGGAAUCCCGUAUGCAAAGAGAGGACUCAGAAAAUGCCCCUGGGCCGUUCACCCAUAGUGGCAGUAAGGGACACUGGAGUAUGUGGGGAUAGAUGUGGAUAUAUUGGCAGGUAUCAAGAACAUGUGGAAGUUUUUUCCUGAACUCUUCUCUUUUUUUCUGUUCAAUAAGAAAGAUGGUUUUCAGCUGAGAAUGAGAAUGAAGAAAAACGUAUUGAGUGGUGGGGCUCCUUUGGACAGAGUGUAUCUGGGUGAAACACAGGCAGGGAAAUGCCAAGGUUCUGAGGAAUGAGCUCAGUGUGCGAGCACAGAGGGAAGGUCAGUGUGCCGGGGAAGAGAGGAGGCGUGAUAAAGAGGUAAGGUUGUAAGGCCCAUCGGGGAGGCUUAGGAUUCUGCUGGUAAAGAAUUUGAAUUUUAUGCCAGGUGCAGCGGGAAACCAUUGAAGGGUUUUUCCACCCGCAGGUGACAUAUCCCGAUUGAUACACACGCACACUUUUCUAAAAAUUGAGAUGAACAUCCCAUAACAUAGAAAUCACCAUUCUAAAGUGACUAUUUCAGUAGCGCUUACAAUGUUGUGCAGUCACCACCAGUUUAUAUUGUCAAGAUCAUUCUGGGAUCUGUGGGAACUGGGUGGUGGGGGAGCAGGAGUGCAGAAGGAGAAACAUGUUUGGGGGCGGAUGCUGAAGAGAGAAUAGUGGCUAAGGUGGUAGCAGAAAGGAGGGAAGAGCAGACAGAGCAACGGGAUGUAUUUUUGAGGAGCGUUAAGAGGAUUUCUAACAGAUUCAGUGCAGCAUGGGAGGAAGGACGUAAUAUGUACGGAAGCACCUAGUAAACUUUGCCAACUGGAAAAUGUUAUCAUCAUUAUUAUGAAGAGCAUUUAUGAUUAUUAAAGAAAGCCAGACCCACAGUCUCUGAAGGUCCCUCAGAGUCCUGAGGUCCUCUGAGGCUUUAAAGAUGCAUUAACUGCCUUCGAGGGGAAAGGGGAGAUUUAUUUGAAGGUUUUCCUGAUCCCAUGCAGUGCCCAAGUGCUCCCAGAGGAGAGUGCCAGGGCAUUGUCCAUCCAAACACUCGGUGAGAACAGGCAAAGCCUGCCUUCAGCCAGCAGCGCUGCCUCAUGGCCUGGGGGUGUGCAUGAGAACUGGCAGGCCCGGGUUCAGCAUCCCAGACACUAUACUCUCAAGGAGGAAGUGCCCUGACGCCUGGCUUCUCCGACCUCCAGGAUGUCCAGUAAAAACAGACUGGGUGGCGAGGCCCCAAGCCAGAGAGGGGAGAGUGCUUCCAGCAGUGCAGCCCUAUGUGGAUGACUCUUGCUGGCACUGAGCACACCCUAGAAGAUUAUAGCACUUUCCCCAGAAUCCCAGGGGCUGGAGCCUGAGAGCCUGCUCAUAAAUGAGGCUCAGCAUCUGACGCUGUCAGCAUCCCAGAUGGUGUUCAGGUGGCAAGGGGCUUUAGGCGAGACUCUCUCCAAAAGGCAAUUUCUUCCCUCCCUCCCUUCUUAGAGGAACUUCCCAGAAACCCGAGUCUAUUUGGUUUAUGAUCUUUGUAGUCUCCUCUGGAAAAAGUGGUCUGUCUUUCAUGUAAGAUUUAGCUUUAGAUAGGCCUCUACUGGGCUAGGAACAUUUUUCUUUGACAGAGAGCUUCUCACCCAGCAAAUAAACGAAAUCAAAUCUUUCAGGCAUGUGCGUAACAGUGCAGCUUCUUCCAUCUGAGAGAACAGACAGCCCUUCCCAUGCCAUUAGAGCUGCAGUCCUCAUAGUGUGGCCCCCAGACCAACAGUGUAAGCAUUUGCGUCCCCCCCCCCCGCCCGCUGCCCCCCACAGGGACUUGUGAGACAUGUAGAUUCUCUGGCCUCACCCUGGCCUCCUGACUGGGAAAUUCUGGAGGUGGGGCCCAGACAUCUUUGCUUUAACAAGUCUUUGAAGAGGUUUUGAUGCACACUCAAGUGAGCACCACUGCUGUAGAGAAAAAGAGAAAUGCAGAACCAAAGAAAGUAUGAGCAGAGAAACCGGGUGGUCACCUAAGCAUCCGAUGCAUGACGGAAGUGAGGCCCAGGGGGAAGGUGACUUGUCCUAGAAAAUUAGAGAACAGAUAACCUUUUGGUCCCUCUGGGAUCUACCUCCUUUCCUCAGGGAAACUCAGAUUGUUCCUUCGAACUAUUGUCCUUUCCCAGAGGUUCUAGCUGCUCACCCAUCCUGACAUUACCAAGUGACUUUGAACAAUUUACUCUGUGCGUUUAUAUAAAUCUGAUCAUUUCAUAUGGUAAAAGGUAUAUGACACGAUGCGCAUAAAAUACUAAAGAAACCCCAGAGAGAGUGUGGCUUAGAUCAGCAGACUUGUGGUGGAGAAUUAUAUAUAGCAGGUGUAUUGUGUGUGUGUUACACUGUAAGGAUUGGUGAAAGGGAGAAACUGACCCCACGUAUGGUUGUAACGGGGCCUCAGACAGGCCUACAGGAAGCGCUGGAGCUGGGAUGAGCUUUCAGAAUGAUUUCCACCUGAAGUAAUGGGGACCGACAUUUAUAUCCUUAGAUUAGUCAGUCACUGGCUGUGAGCUGCCCCUGGGAGGGGCCUUCAUUUUCUGCCAGGCAGUUAUCUGCCAAGGGCCUUGUCUCAUAGGGGCACAGCUGGAAGGCAACAGCAGCUGCAAGCUGGGUGGCUCAACCCUGAAGAAGGAAUCUGGAGAGAAUAUAAAAGUAUUCACCUGUCCCCAGAGCUGCUACAGGUGGAUUUCACACUGGUGUUGCCUACCCACUGGGCUGUAGGAAAUAUGACCCUCUUGACUUCCUUCCCAAGGAGAGAGGGAGGAGUCAGUGGCCGAAAAACCCAGCACCUGCACCGGGGCAGUCCUGCUCAUCAGCAGGGGACACCCCACUGCCCCCCAGUACACAGACAGCAGGAUCAUCCUCUAACAGUAGAGAAAGGCGUCUUGAUGUCCUUUCAGGUGACACACCCUGGAGGUUUCUCUGACAAGACAGUCUGACUGAUGUUUCACCUGCACAGUUGGCUUAGGGGCCAGUGAGCUGAGAGCUAGAGAAGCAGGAAGGGGAGAGCACCAGGCCUGACCACUGAAUUCGGCCUGUGUGCUUGGCUCCAAGGAAGGCUUUCUGCUCUUCUCUGGGACUAUUGCACCAAACUUUGGGAAGGGGGAGUGUCAUCUCUGUUUGAAGUCCACCAGAACCCCCUCCCUAGUGCCUUGGAGCGCCAGCUGAACUCUGGCGCCUCCUAAGUGUUGUGCUUUAACACCAUGCCAGUGGACUCCGGCCUAGUCCUGCUGUGAGAUGGAGCAGCCACUGCCAAAGGCUUCAUCUUUCCUGACCACAGGCCCUAGAGCAUCCAGAGGCCUCCAGCGUUCUGUGCCCUAUAAAUCACCAGGCCCCCUGGCACGCUGCCAGAGGGCUGCUGCCACUGCUUUGACACAGACUUAAUUACAAGCUGUUGCUCCCAUCGAUGGGAGCAUCGUACUGUUUGCAAAGUAAGGUCUCAGGAAAUGUCUGGCACAUGCACGAGUAGAUGCAUAAAUGAGUAAAUGCGUUUGUGAAGCUUUAUGAAAGCCCUGGGACCACCGACCAAUGGAGUUGGGAUCCGAGCUAGAGCAGCUCAUCCUAGAGUAGAAGUGGAGGUGAGCUACUGACAUCCUCAGCUCUCAGCAAAGCCGUGUUCUUUUCCACUAACAGUAAGAUGAAAUAAAAACACCGAGGGAUGGAAAGGCAGCCUUGGAGGAUGAACAGGACAUUGUUAAAGGGAUCCUGAAGGGGGACGGGUAGGCAAGGAAGGGGAGGCCGAGCCCCAUGCCCACCCUGCUGCUGUGGCCACUGGGAGUGUGCACUUGGGGGAGAUUUUCAUGGAUGGCCUCUGAGGCGCUGGGCUUUCCAAGCCUCACCUGCAGAGCCCCGUUUCUUUCCCUUGUGUCCACCGUCUCCCUGAGUCACUCCCUGAGUCGCCAUCCAACCCUCAGAACGAGGCCUUCCCCAGCCUGAGGCAGACCGUGGUUUGCAUGCCUGAGGCUGACUUGCAUGCCACUCUCCCAGUAAUCAGCAGCUGCAGCUACUCCCUGAGUCAGUGUGAAGGCCUCCCUGCCUGUCUCCUGUCAUCUCUGCAUGAGGUCUUGGGUCUCUGGGGAAAGUACUUGCAGGCCAAGGGCUUCUGACUCCACGACUCAUGGCCCAGCUGGUGGAGGGCUCUCCCCAACUGCCUCAGAAGCACUCCCCCUGGGGGAGCAACUCAGUAUCUCUUUGUCCACAAAGACAUGUUAACAUUCUUCCUGGGAGUCCCAGUCUUAGGUGGAAUGGGUGUGUAAUACGAGUCACAGAACCGCGACAGAAAAAUCUACAUAAAGCAUAAUGUUUACAACGAUCCUCUCCCUGAGGCCUUCUGAGGUUAAAAGCGCUUUGGUUUCCUUUGGUCUGACCAGUGUACUAGUGAAGGCAAACCUGGCUUCUGUAAUAAGCAAACCCUCCAACUGUCAAUAGCAAAACUAGAAUGGUUUUACUCGUUGCUCCCAUCAGUCCCAAGCAGGUAUUUGAUACAGAGCCUCCCAUGUGAUUGAUGGACACGUUCUUUCCUUGAGGCGUAGCUGUCCCCUUGGGCCUUAGAGUCCUCUGCCUUUAUCUGGCAGACAAGGAAAGGGAGGGUAGAGAAGUACCCACCUGUUGGUCACGACGGCCUGGAAGAGACACACGUCCUUUCUGCUCACCUCCCAGCGACGAGGACUAGUCUGCCUGGUCCACAGGACUCUACCCACAUGCAAGGGGCUUGAGAAAUGUAGCUCCAGCUGGAGAGCCUUCUGAAAGACCUCCUCAUGAUGACAGAGGAGCACAGAUCUCCGAAAAACAGCUAGCUGUCGGUCCCCAGCACUGGGAAGUCACGAUUGGCGGUGGCAAACUCAAGACUCUGAAGGCAUGGGAGACAUCACUCAUCAAGGAGAAGCACAUGGAACUUAUCAAGGAAGGAUUAUAAAAGUUGCAAGGGAAGGGAGACGGGUGAGGAGGAGAGCCGGCCAAGAUGGAGUUCUGGAGGACAGAGACUAGACCGGAGCAGCUGCUGUCAAGUGUGAGGCUUUGGAAAGAAACUAUUAGGAAAGGGGUCUGAGUGUUGGGACUGAGUGUUGUGUGGUGUGAUUUGUCCCUUGUCAAGCUUCAUUUAGUAAAGCCAUCAGCAGAGUGUGGGAGGGCAGAGGCAGACUUCAGGGUUUGUUGAGUCAAAUGAGUUAAAAAUAUCAUAGCUAUCCUGAAAUCCAGGAGUGAUGAUGGUUGCCCAGCAUUGUGACUAUACUAAAAAUUACCGAAUUGUACUCUUUGAAAGGGUGAAUUUUAGGCUAUGUGACGAUAGCUCAGUAAAAAAUUACCCUAGAAACAUAAUAAUUCCCACUUUUGAGCACUUUUUUUUGUGCCAGCACUUACACUUUUAUAAUCCCUAUAUCCUUGGUAUAACCUAAAAGGUGGUGUUAAUGUCUCUGUUUUACAGGUAAAGAAACUCAGCUUCACAGGGGUUCGAAUGGCCCAAUGUCACCCCAGUGGUAGAGUCAGAAUUUGAGCUCCAGUCUGCCCAGCUGCAGCCAUGGUGCUCUCUGCACAGGCCUGCUGGUCCCAGUGACAAUCACUGUCAUCUAUUGAGUGCCAGGUGCUGAGCAGGGUGACCUUGAGAACAAUAGCCAGCCUGGGACUCUAAACCUGCUCUUUGACCUCCUGCCCUCUGGGCCUGCCAUCCUCAGCCCUGUUCUCCAGAGGAACCCAGAACGUUCCAGUAACCUGCUGUAAUGUGGAAGUACCAUUUCAGUAAUGACAGCCUUCUGUUGCUCUAACUCAGGAGGCAGCAAACCAUGGCCCAUGGGUCAAAUCCAGCCCACCGUUUUGACAAGUGGUGGUUUUAAAAAACAUAUCUGCAAAUUCUUUGAUAUCCCUAUCAAAAGAAUGCAGCCACUUAGAAAAGUCUCUUAUAGGUGAAAUGGAGCAGCACUAAAUGAGGUCUUAACAAAUAGCCAGCAUCAACCACUGGACAUGUGAGUAAGUGUGCUUUCAAAUGAUUCCAACUCCUAGUCUUCCAGCUGCCCUAUCUGACUCUGGGUGGAGAGAGACCAGCUGUUCUCUCUAAGCCCUCCUAAAAUUGCAGGCUCUCAUGUUAUUGUCAUUUUAAGUGACUAACCUUUAAGGCUGUUUGUCACACAGCAAAGGAUAACUAAAAUAGGACCCUUGGAUGGUUGUCAAGUUUUUGUUCCUACCAAUAGUUCCCUGGUGAAUGUUCUUAUAUUUGUCUUGAUAAGUCUUGCACAUUUUUGCUAAAUUUAUUUUUAAAUACUUCCUUUUUAUUGCUAUUCCAAAUGAUUUCCUUUUUAAAAUUGUUUGUAUUCUUGCUGGCAUAAAAAUACAAGUUUAUUUUUUUCUUGCUCAUUUGGUCAUUCACCUUGCCAAAUCCUAUUAUUCUUUCUAAUUCUAUUGUUUGAGACUUUCAGUGUAGACAGACAUAUUAUCUGGAAAUAUCAAUUUUGCUUUCUUCCUAUUUUUGUGUCUCUAGUUGCUUUUGUUGUCAUGUUAUGCUGGCUAGAAUUUCCCGUACAGUGUUGAGUAGAAGUCUUAAGGCUGGACAUCUUUGUCUUUUGAAUUUAAGUAUAAUGUGUCUGACAUUCCUUAUUAAGAAUGAUGCUUGUAAACUUUUGGUAGUCUUUAUCAGAGGAGGAAUAUUAUCUUUUAUUCAUGUAAUUUACUAAAAAUUUUUAUCAUGAAAUAUGUAGAAUUCUAUAAAAUUUCAUUUUUUAAAAGUUUAUUGAGGUAUGAUUUACAUAAAACAAAAUUCACCUCUUAGAGUGUAUAGUUCAAUGAGGUUUAACAAAUAUAUGCAGUCAUUAGCCAUUGCUACCAUGAACAUAGAUCUUUUUUGUCACCAUAAGAUUCCCUCAUGUCAUUUGCAAUCAAUCUCCUUGUAUUCUCUUUUUAAAAAACAGGUGAAUUUAGUAUUAUUUAAGAAUUCUAUGUGUAAAUUCAUGAGUGGUUUUUGUCCUGUUGUUUUACUUCUUUUGCUGUCUUUGUUUGGCUUUGGUGUAAUUACUCUUGCCUCAUAGGAUUUAUUGGGAGAGUAUUCAUCUUUCUUCUACUUUGUAGAGAAACUCUUAUGAAGUUGGAAUGAUAUGUGCCUUGAAAAGUUGGUAAAAUUCACUUGAACCAUUAGUCUGAGCUGUUUUCUCUGUUGAAAGUGUUUUAAACAUUGCUUCAAUGUAUUUUAUAAGAAGAGGACUAUUAAGGAUUUCUGUUUCUUUUAGAGUCAGUUUUAAGUUCUAGAAAUGUGUCCAUUUUCACAUUUAUUGGCAUAGAAGUCAUACUAUAUUUUCCCCUUAAUCACUGCCAUAUAUGAUAUUGUUUAAUUGUGCAUUUCAUUUUUCUUGAUUAUCAACAUUGACAGAGGUUUAGUAAUUUUAUUCUUUUCAAAUAUUUAACUUUUGGCUUUCUUGAUGCUCUCUUUUGUAUCUAUGUUUCUUAUUUCAUUGAUUUGUACUCUUCAUUAUCUCUUUCUUUGUGUUUGUUCUUUUCUAUUUUCUUAAGAUCAUUUAUUCCAGACUUCUUCUUUUCCAAAAUAAACAUUAAAAUCUAUAAAUUAUUCUCCAAGUUCUGCUUUAACUUCAUGUCACAAGUUUUGAUAUGUAUUAUUUUUAUUAUUAUUCAAAUACAGUUAAUUUAAUAUCCAAUAUAAUUUUGUCUUUGACACAUGACUUAUUUACAGGGUGUUUUGAAAUUUUCAAAUAUAUGAUUUUAAAACUUUUUUUACUGACUCUUACUAAAAUGCAUUCUUGUCAGAGAAUUUUUGUUCUUAUGUGCCAAGUUUUAAAUUUAUUGCAGCUUGCUUUACAUGUUUAUGAUCAGUUUUUGUAAAUGUUAAGAAAAAGAUGAUUAUCUAGUUUUAAAAAGCAGAGUUAAUAUAUGAUCUAUAUUUGAUUAAGCUCAUUACUUAAAUAAUGUUCAAAUAAUCUACAUUACUAUGUUCUUUUGGCAUGUGUCAUAUGUAAUAUUUGAGAUGGAUGUGAUAAAAUCCACUUUGGUGACAGAUUUUUGUCAUCAUUGAUGACUUUUAUCAAUUUCAUAUUUAAUUUUUGUCAAUGUAAGUGAUUUACUCACUAUAGGAUUUUAAAUUAUAGUCAUAAAAUACUCACCAAAGUCAGGAGAACAGUGUAUACACAAAGUAAAUAUUUCAACAAAGAGAUGGAUAAUAUUUUAAAAGUACCAAACAAAAAUAGCUGAAUGUAGCUGAAUGUAAAAAUUCAAUAGAGAGUUUCAACAACAAACUGUAUUAAACAGAAGAAAGGAUUGGUGAACUCCAGGGAAAGUCAGCAGAAAUCAUACAAAGAAGCAAAAAGAAAAAGAAUGAAAAACAGUGAAGAUAGCUUAAGGGAUUUAUUCAACACCAUCAUGUGGCCCAAUAUAUGCCUUAUGGGAGUACAAGAAAGAGAAAAUAGAAUGGGGCCAGACACUUAUUCAAAGAAAUAAUGGUUGAAAACUUCCCAAACCUGAUGGAGAAAUGGGAUAAUAUAGUCAAAGUACUGGGCUGGGAAAAAAAAAACCUGUCAACUAAGAAUACUUUACCUGGCAAAGUUGUUCUGCAGAAGUGAAGGAGAAAGAAAGAUAUUCCCAGGCAAAUAAAAGCUAAACUUCAUCAUCAGCAGUCUUUACUUAUAAGAAAUGAUAAAGGGAGUUCUUCAGGAGGUCCCUAGUGGCUCAGUGGGUUAAGGAUCUGGCAUUGUCACUGUUGUGGCUCUGGUGACAGGUGUGGCUUGGGUUCAAUCCCUGGCUCAGGCACUUCUGCAUGCUGCAGGCCAAAAAAAAAGGGGGGGGGAGAAGGGAGUUCUUUCAAGCUAAAAUAAAAGGACACUAAUAAGUAACAUGAAAACAUAUUAAAGAGUAAAACUUACUGGUAAAGGUAAAUACAGAGUCACAUUUGGAAUACCAUUAUACUGUGAUGGUGCUGUGUAAAUUACUUAUAAUUCUAGUAUAAAGAUAAAAGCCUCUAAGUAUUCAAAAUGACUAUAGCUAUAAUAACUUUUAAAUGAAUACACAAUGUAAAAAGAUUUAAAUUGUGACAUAAAGAACAAAAUAUAAGUAGGGGAGUAAAAAGUUGAGCUGUUGAGCUUCUGUAUGUGAUCAAAGUUAAGUUGUUAUUAGCUCAAAAUAGACUAUUUUACUUUAAGAUGCUUUCGAUAAUACUUACAGUAACUAAGAGCAAAAACCUAGAGUAGAUACACAAAAGAUAAUUAGUAAGGAGUCAUAACAUACCGCUACAGAAUAUCAAGUUACAAAGAAACUUGUAACUAGAGAGGAAGAAUGGAAUGCAUGAUCUACAAAACACCCAGAAAAUAAUUAAAUGGCAAUAGUUAGUGCUUAUGCAUCAAUAAUUACUUUAAUUAUAUUCUCCAAUAGCAAGACUUACAGUGACUGAAUGGAUUAAAACAAGACCCUAAGCAUUAAAAUAUGUCGCCUACUAGAGAUUCACUUUACUUUUAAGAACACAUGUACUGAAUGUGAAAAUAUAGAAAAAGAUAUUUUAUGCAAAUAGAAACCAAAGGCAAGCAAAGGUAGCUAUACUUAUAUCAGACAAAAUGGAUUUUUAACUCAAAGUCUAUAAUAAGAAACAAAGUCAUUAUGUGAUGAUAAAGGGAUCAAUCAAUACAUCAAGAGAAUUAACAACUGUAAGUAUAUAUGUGCCCAAUAUUGGAGCACCUAAAUAUAUUCAGCAAAUAUUAACAGAUCUGAAGGGAAAGAAUAGACAGCAAUACGAUAAUAACCCUGUAGAUCUGUACCCUACUUUCAACACUGAAUAGAUCAUCCAGACAGAGUCAGUUAGGAAACUUUGGAUUUAGACUACAUUUUAAGUCAAGUGGACCUAACAGACAUCCCAUACAAUAGCACUAGAAUACAUAUUCUCUAGUGCACACAGAACAUUCUUCAGGAUUGAUCAUUCUUCAGCGGUAUUAUCCAGCAGAGCCAAUGCAAACCUUAAGAAAUUUAAGAUUGAAAUCAUAUGAAGCAUCUUUUCUGACUACAAUGGUAUGAAACUAGAAAUCAGUUACAAGUGGAAACUGGAAUAUUCACAAAUAUAUGGAGCUAAACAGCAUGCUCUAGCACAACCAGAAUUAAAGAAGGAGUCAAAAGGGAAAUCAAAAAUAUCAUGAGAAAAAUGAAAACGGAGGGAAUUCCCUUCAUGGCUCAGAGGUUAACAAACCCAACUAGGAUC